rnacentral:rRNA from 1 species
UACGUAGGGUGCAAGCGUUGUCCGGAAUUAUUGGGCGUAAAGAGCUCGUAGGCGGUCUGUCACGUCGGCUGUGAAAACCCGAGGUUCAACCUCGGGCCUGCAGUCGAUACGGGCAAACUAGAGUACUGCAGGGGAGACUGGAAUUCCUGGUGUAGCGGUGAAAUGCGCAGAUAUCAGGAGGAACACCGGUGGCGAAGGCGGGUCUCUGGGCAGUAACUGACGCUGAGGAGCGAAAGCGUGGGGAGCGAACAGG